rnacentral:misc_RNA from 1 species
AACCAUUCUCACCUGCGGCUAGACCUGCGGAGGAUCAUUAAAAAGAGUGUGUACCCCUCUGUAAAAUGAGUGGGUUACCUCCCGUCCUUUGUUGACCUCUUAGGAGGUUAUUUUGAACUUUCUGCUUCGGUGGGGUUAAACCUACCGGAACACCCUCAAAUUCUUAUCAUUUAAAAAUUGUUCAGUCUGAUUUUUGUUAAUAAAAACAAAAAACUUUCAACAACGGAUCUCAGAUCGGAA